GUCCAAAGUGUUGAGUUCAGCUCUGCUGUCGGUGCAGAUCUGAUAAUUAAACUUUGGGACAGAAAGCUGCAGCAGAGACCAACAUUACAUCAUCUGUAGUGACGUCUCAGUGCUGCCUACAUCA